rnacentral:rRNA from 1 species
CGCGGCCUAUCAGCUUGUUGGUGGGGUAGUGGCCUACCAAGGCGACGACGGGUAGCCGGCCUGAGAGGGCGACCGGCCACACUGGGACUGAGACACGGCCCAGACUCCUACGGGAGGCAGCAGUGGGAAUAUUGCGCAAUGGGCGGAAGCCUGACGCAGCGACGCCGCGUGGGGGAUGACGGCCUUCGGGUUGUAAACCUCUUUCAGCAGGGACGAAGUUGACGUGUACCUGCAGAAGAAGCGCCGGCUAACUACGUGCAGCAGCCGCGGUAAUACGUAGGGCGCAAGCGUUGUCCGGAAUUAUUGGGCGUAAAGAGCUCCUAGGUGGCUGGUCGCGUCUGGCGUGAAAGCCCGCAGCUUAACUGCGGGUCUGCGGCGGAUACGGGCCGGCUAGAGGUAGGUAGGGGCAAGUGGAAUUCCUGGUGUAGCGGUGAAAUGCGCAGAUAUCAGGAGGAACACCGGUGGCGAAGGCGGCUUGCUGGGCCUUACCUGACGCUGAGGAGCGAAAGCGUGGGGAGCGAACAGGAUUAGAUACCCUGGUAGUCCACGCUGUAAACGUUGGGCGCUAGGUGUGGGGAUCUUCCACGAUCUCCGUGCCGGAGCUAACGCAUUAAGCGCCCCGCCUGGGGAGUACGG